UCAAGUUUAGGAUAGGUGCCAAGGCCCUUGGCUCACAUUCGGGGUUAGAAAAUGCAAACCCAACUUGAAAUUGGGUUUGUUUCAGGAAUAAUUAUGUGUAUUUGGGUCGAGUUGGUUCGGUGCAGAGGAUUUUUCAUUGGCUUCAACCCUCAUGACCACAACCUUCAUCCACAGCCACCGCCCCAGUAAUCCACUAUUGUAACCUCUAUACUCCACCAGUGCCGCCACCUCCACCGAUCGGCGCCAACAUUUGCCAUAUCACCUUGUGGUUUGAAGGUUAAUAGUUUCUUGUUUUUUCUUUCAGAGACACCAUUAUUAUAAUUUAUUGUUCUAUGCAUAUUGAGUUAUGUAUAAUUUCUGUUUAUGCACAAUUUCCUUAAGAAGUGUUCUAAAACUAGGGAGAUGGUUUCUCAAGUGGACCAUGAUCUUGACUCUUGAUGGAGAAUGGACUAUUACUAAAAAAAAACUUACCAAUAUGGCUUUAAUGGUAACACUAGGAAGUGUUAGCUCUCUUUUAGCUACUAGAAGGUAGCCAUAUUUUCAGAUGCUCUGAAACAUGCAUCAAUCAUUGAUGGUAUUCAUCUUACUGAGCGGCAACAGAAAGCUGGCUUUUCAAUCAUUGACAUUUUCUCAGUUGAAUGUGGACUGUUACUGCACUUGUUUUCUUAAUUGUCUUCGCAGGUGACCAAUGGAAUUGUAUUAUAAGGGAGAUUUUGAGCCAUGGUCCAUCCACUAGGCCAUAAGAUCUAUGGUCUGGAUGACCAAAACAUGGGCUACAUUUGUACGAAGGACCUGAGGAUGCUUGUUUAGUAUGGAUGGAGAUUUUGCACCUGUGAUUGAACUUGUGGAGCUUCGGAAGAAGCAUGGAUUUUUAUUGGUCAUUGAUGAUUUUCUUCAGGCCCUUGGGACACUAGUUUGUGGCAACCAUGGUGGUGGAGUGGCAGAGUAGUUUAAUUGAGAAUGAUGUGGAUAUAUGCAUCGGAACUUUGAGCAAGCUGCAGGUUGCCACGAUGGUUUCAUUGCAUGCAGAUUUCAUGCAUGCUAACUAUUUGAUGAAAUGGCUCAAGGUCCUUUGCUUGGGAAAUGAAGGUGAGUACAUAGUAAUUUAGACUUCUUUUUUCUUAUCACCUUUUAUUUUGUUGCAAAUUCCAAAAUACAUGUAUGGUAUUCUUAUU